GACGAACGCUGGCGGCGUGCUUAACACAUGCAAGUCGAACGGUGAACCUCUUCGGAGGGGAUCAGUGGCGAACGGGUGAGUAACACGUGGGCAACCUGCCCCCGGCUCUGGGAUAACUCCAAGAAAUUGGGGCUAAUACCGGAUGUUCACCGCUUCCCGCAUGGGUGGUGGUGGAAAGGGUUUCCGGCUGGGGAUGGGCCCGCGGCCUAUCAGCUUGUUGGUGGGGUAGUGGCCUACCAAGGCGACGACGGGUAGCCGGCCUGAGAGGGUGACCGGCCACACUGGGACUGAGACACGGCCCAGACUCCUACGGGAGGCAGCAGUGGGGAAUAUUGCGCAAUGGGCGGAAGCCUGACGCAGCGACGCCGCGUGGGGGAUGACGGCCUUCGGGUUGUAAACCUCUUUCAGCAGGGACGAAGCGCAAGUGACGGUACCUGCAGAAGAAGCACCGGCCAACUAUGUG
rnacentral:rRNA from 1 species